AUUGAACGCUGGCGGCAUGCCUUACACAUGCAAGUCGAACGGCAGCGGGGGAGAAGCUUGCUUUUCCUGCCGGCGAGUGGCGAACGGGUGAGUAAUACAUCGGAACGUGCCCUGUAGUGGGGGAUAACUAGUCGAAAGAUUAGCUAAUACCGCAUACGACCUGAGGGUGAAAGUGGGGGACCGCAAGGCCGCAUGCUAUAGGAGCGGCCGAUGUCUGAUUAGCUAGUUGGUGGGGUAAAGGCCUACCAAGGCGACGAUCAGUAGCUGGUCUGAGAGGACGAUCAGCCACACUGGGACUGAGACACGGCCCAGACUCCUACGGGAGGCAGCAGUGGGGAAUUUUGGACAAUGGGCGAAAGCCUGAUCCAGCAAUGCCGCGUGUGUGAAGAAGGCCUUCGGGUUGUAAAGCACUUUUGUCCGGAAAGAGAUGGCUCUGGUUAAUACCUGGGGUCGAUGACGGUACCGGAAGAAUAAGGACCGGCUAACUACGUGCCAGCCGCCGCAGUAAAAC
rnacentral:rRNA from 1 species